rnacentral:misc_RNA from 1 species
UGGGAAAUGCCAUUGUUAUAUCCCUACAAGUAACAUAAAGGGGACGUUGAAGUUUAUUCAGGGGUUAUUUCAAUGUACCUCAAUUUUCAUCAAACAGGAAGGUGAAGAGAUAAGGUUUUAAAGUUUCAAAGGACCCUUCUAAAGUGAAAACAACUGCCAACAAAAUUGCACUUCAUCACCAAAAACAGAUUCAAUUUCUAGUGCUUUG